AGAUAGUUAGGCUCCCAAUGAAGGCGAGUCAAAAAAAAAAAUUGAGCCACUGAGCAGUCAAGCUGCCAGAAAAUUGAAACUGCUGCAAGGCCCCGAGAUGACAGAGCUACUGAAACUAUAAGGAUGAAAAAAGUCAAAGUGUAUGAUGGAUGCAUGCUCAGAUCCCAUCGCAUCAGAUGGAGCAAUCAGAAGGAUUCCUUAUUUUACUGCCAUGUUCCUUUGACCAGAUUUUUAAAAAACAUGGAGAAACCAUGGAAAGAAAGGAAAUACAAGAUAAAAGAUCACCUCAGAAACAAAGAAAUGCGGUUCCGUCUGCUUGAAGUGUCUCCCAUGUAAAUUGAGCAAGGUGUGAUCAUGCAGGCCAGGCAAACAAAGCCAUCAGGAGAACAUGUGGGGAGAAAAUGAUCACUUAACAUCUCAAUGGGGGAUGGAGACUGCACUCCCAGGAAGCCUUCCUGCCUCUUGAAACAGGGUCAAUAAACUUUGAAGGAGAUAAUUUUCAAUGGUUUUCUGGCCUAUAAAGAGAGGGGCAGAGAACCCCUAAAUUGUCCUUCACCCAAGGAGAUAAGAAAAACCAGCACCUUUGACUCUCUGGGGAUCCUGACUAAGAGCUCGUCAACCAUUGCUGGAAAAGGAAGAUUGGUGAGGAAACCACCUUGAACGAAGACUGUAGCUUGUUAAGUGAAGGCUUAGGUACUAGAAAGGUACUUUUGUUUGUUUGAAACCCUGUCUAUCUUUAUCCCUUAUAUUUGAACUCAAAACUCUCUCUUUAUGAUUGAAUAAACUUGUUUUAUUUUUU